rnacentral:rRNA from 1 species
UGGGGAAUAUUGCACAAUGGGCGAAAGCCUGAUGCAGCGACGCCGCGUGAGGGAUGACGGCCUUCGGGUUGUAAACCUCUUUCAGCAGGGAAGAAGCGCAAGUGACGGUACCUGCAGAAGAAGCACCGGCUAACUACGUG